AUAGUACUCUGGAUGAUCACCGCGCUCCUCAUUGAGGAGUGGGGAGGAAAGUCCGAACUUCUCUUGUCUACAUUGUAGAUAAGAAAAAAGGUAGUGGGUAACACCCACCUCAGGCAUUGCAAAAUGUUCUGGCGGGAAAGUGCCACAGAGACUAUACUAAUUCUCGACUAUGUCGGGGAUGAAAUGUGAAAAGUGUAUUGGUGUAUUGAUAGGUUCAGCAUAUGCACUAUAUCAAUGCUACGAUACUUCCUCUGUCGUAAGACAGAUUGAUGGUAAACCCUACCCGAAGAAAGAGCAGCGUUUCUCGAGUAAUCGAGAUUCGAAAAGUUAGCUCGUUAUUGAUCUCACUGGUAACAGUGGGACUAGAGAAAUGAUCGUCACCCCGACUAUGUCGGGAUACAAAAUUCGGCUUAUAGGAGUAGUAUGAAA
rnacentral:RNase_P_RNA from 1 species